rnacentral:rRNA from 1 species
GACAGAGGGUGCAAACGUUGUUCGGAAUUACUGGGCGUAAAGCGUGUGUAGGCGGCUACAUAAGUCGGAUGUGAAAGCCCCGGGCUCAACCCGGGAAGUGCACUCGAUACUGCGUAGCUUGAGUCUCGGAGAGGUUGGUGGAAUUCUCGGUGUAGCGGUGAAAUGCGUAGAUAUCAAGAGGAACACCUGCGGCGAAGGCGGGUUGCUGGGCCGACACUGACGCUGAGGCGCGAAAGCCAGGGGAGCGAACGGG